AGAGUUUGAUCCUGGCUCAGGAUGAACGCCUGGCGGCAUGCUUAAUACAUGCAAGUCGAACGAAGUYUUCCAGGAAGCUUGCUUCCAAGAGACUUAGUGGCGAACGGGUGAGUAACACGUAGGUAACCUGCCCAUGUGUCCGGGAUAACUGCUGGAAACGGUAGCUAAAACCGGAUAGGUAUACRGAGCGCAUGCUCUGUAUAUUAAAGCGCCCAUCAAGGCGUGAACAUGGAUGGACCUGCGGCGCAUUAGCUAGUUGGUGAGGUAACGGCCCACCAAGGCUAUGAUGCGUAGCCGGCCUGAGAGGGUAAACGGCCACAUUGGGACUGAGACACGGCCCAAACUCCUACGGGAGGCAGCAGUAGGGAAUUUUCGUCAAUGGGGGAAACCCUGAACGAGCAAUGCCGCGUGAGUGAAGAAGGUCUUCGGAUCGUAAAGCUCUGUUGUAAGUGAAGAACGGCUCAUAGAGGAAAUGCUAUGGGAGUGACGGUAGCUUACCAGAAAGCCACGGCUAACUACGUGCCAGCAGCCGCGGU
rnacentral:rRNA from 1 species